AUUGAACGCUGGCGGCAGGCUUAACACAUGCAAGUCGAGCGGGGACUUCGGUCCUAGCGGCGAACGGGUGAGGAAUGCUUGGGAAUCUGCCUAGUAGUGGGGGAUAACGUUUCGAAAGGAACGCUAAUACCGCAUACGUCCUACGGGAGAAAGGGGGGGAUCUUCGGACCUCCCGCUAUUAGAUGAGCCCAAGUCGGAUUAGCUAGUUGGUGGGGUAAAGGCCUACCAAGGCGACGAUCCGUAGCUGGUCUGAGAGGAUGAUCAGCCACACUGGAACUGAGACACGGUCCAGACUCCUACGGGAGGCAGCAGUGGGGAAUAUUGGACAAUGGGGGAAGCCUGAUCCAGCCAUGCCGCGUGUGUGAAGAAGGCCUUUUGGUUGUAAAGCACUUUAAGCGAGGAGGAGGCUCUUAAGGUUAAUACCCUUGAUGAGUGGACGUUACUCGCAGAAUAAGCACCGGCUAACUCUGUGCCAGCCGCCGCUGUAACAC
rnacentral:rRNA from 1 species